GAUGAACGCUAGCGGGAGGCUUAAUACAUGCAAGUCGAGGGGUAACAUGAGAGCUUGCUCUUGAUGACGACCGGCGCACGGGUGAGUAACGCGUACACAAUCUGCCCUUAAGAGGAGAACAGCCCUGGGAAACUGGGAUUAAUGCUCCAUAGUAUCUUAAUACCGCAUGGUAUAAAGAUUAAAGUUCCGAUGCUUAAGGAUGAGUGUGCGUCCCAUUAGCUUGUUGGUAAGGUAACGGCUUACCAAGGCAACGAUGGGUAGGGGGCGUGAGAGCGUGAUCCCCCACACGGGUACUGAGACACGGACCCG
rnacentral:rRNA from 1 species